GUGGGGAAUUUUGGACAAUGGGCGCAAGCCUGAUCCAGCAAUGCCGCGUGCAGGAAGAAGGCCUUCGGGUUGUAAACUGCUUUUGUACGGAACGAAACGGUCCUGGUUAAUACCUGGGGCUAAUGACGGUACCGUAAGAAUAAGCACCGGCUAACUACGUGCCAGCAGCCGCGGUAAUACGUAGGGUGCGAGCGUUAAUCGGAAUUACUGGGCGUAAAGCGUGCGCAGGCGGUGCUGUAAGACAGGCGUGAAAUCCCCGGGCUCAACCUGGGAAUUGCGCUUGUGACUGCAGUGGUGGAGUACGGCAGAGGGGGAUGGAAUUCCGCGUGUAGCAGUGAAAUGCGUAGAUAUGCGGAGGAACACCGAUGGCGAAGGCAGUCCCCUGGGCCUGUACUGACGCUCAUGCACGAAAGCGUGGGGAGCAAACAGGAUUAGAAACCCCGGUAGUCC
rnacentral:rRNA from 1 species